UUUCUCUCACCUCAACAACAGUGCAGCUCAAACUCAUUGAACCUCAAUUCUUCAUCAGAUCCCUUUGGUAAAAAGCGAGUUGAUUUUAACAGCUUCUGAAGUUGACUACAGCUUGGAGUGGUGCGUGACAGAGUUCAAUGUAGUUCGCAUGUAUCUUGCUGCAUUAUCAUGAAGGACAGACCUAAUCUGCUUUGAUCUGGAAUUUUACUUGCUGCCAAUGGAAAUCAAUGUUGACAAUGAGGCGAAGUUGACCCCGGUCUUCUGCAUUAGUUAUCUAAUGUUUGUUUGUUGAGUAUUUUAUUCGCUUAUCAACCUUUUCCUUGAUUACUUUUCUGUUUUGCUCAGCAAUACAGAAAAUUGACCGAGCUGGAGAAAAAUUGCAAGUUGAUACUGGAUGCAUUGGACUUCUAGCAAGUUGUAAUUUGUGUCAAAAGUGUGAGCAGAGCAGCUGCACUUAACAACUUACCUAUGGAGUGUGACUUCCGAUCAGUUUGCAUCCAUUCUGGAAUGUCACAGGAAGAAAGGUUGACUGGCUACAAAGGUUUCAAGGAGGGGCAUGAAAGGAUUCUUGUCGCAACAGAUUAGGUUGGUAGAGGAAUAGACAUCGAUCGCAUCAACAUUGUGAUGAGUUAUGAUACACCUGAUUCCGCCGUUACUUUCUUGCACUGGGUUGGCAGAGCAGGUUGACUUAGUAUGAAAGGGCUUGCGAUAACGUUCGUCGUCUGCUUCCAACUCGGGUGUUCUGAAUCAGGUUAGCGAAAGUUAACCAUGAUACUUUGGUAUAGUUAGCCUCAAGCUCCAGUGCGUUUUUACUUUCUCACUUUUCAGCAGCUCGUGGAAGUUACAUGUGAUAUGUCUAGGUUCAAGAGAGGUUUGAGGUAGACGUUAAAAACCAACAACUGCAUUUUCUGUUACUUAUUUUAGAUAUCGUUCUUGUUUGUAUACCACGCAAAUAGAAUAAGUUGUUACAUAGUCCUGAAAUGGGUAGUGGUUUCUCAUAAUUCAUAAAAGUCUGCUACAAAAGAAUUUGCAUGUUCUAUCAGUUGGUACAUAUUUUGCAACUAUAUGUAGAUAAUACUGAUAGAUGUACCAAAUGAUAUCAAAUGUUAGCUACUUAGAUUUUUGUGUUUCACUAUUAAUAAAUAAAUAUCCAUGUUCAUCCAUC